UUUAUAAAUAUGAUUUCAAACUAAACAAAUAAAGAUUAUUUUACAUUAUCAACUAUGGUUCUAGACUCAUGUAAAUAUUAUAUUUUUCUCAAAAACAACAAAAUACAAAAUAAUACACCAAAAUUUAUAGAAAAAUCAUCAAGUCAAGAAAUGUUAAUUUUAAAACUUAAUAUUUUGACAUUAAUAUAUACUUUUUUAUUUCUGUCACAUUAUAAUAUUUUAUAAUAUCAAAAUAUUAUAAUAUCAAAAUAUUAUAAUAGUAUUAAUUUAAUUUUAUAAAUAUAAUGUCAAACUACAAAAAUAAAAAUUAAUUUACAUUAUCAACCAUGGUUCAAGACUCAUGUAAAUGUUUUACUUUUCUAAAAACAACAAAAUAAUAUACCAAAGUUUAUAAAAAAAUCAUCAAGUCAGGAAAUGUUAAUUUAAAAACAUAAAGUAUCAAUAUAAACAAAAUAAUUCUGCGCACAGCGCGGAUCAGAAUCUAGUUAUAAUAUAUAUUUGAUUUUUAGUAUUGGUGGAUAUUUAAUACUCUUUUUGCACUUUGAUAGUCAAUUCAUGGAUUAUAUAUUGACUAAAAUUCUAUCAGAAUUAAAAAGAAACUAAUGUUAUAUUCUCUGAAAUCUUUUAAUAAUAUUUUUUUCUUUUAAUGUAUACAUGUUAUUAUUGUAUAUAUAAUCAAACAAAUUAAAGAAGAAUUCACCAAACAAGAAAAAUUAAAGCGAAUAUCUCUCAAAAAAAGUUUAUAAAAUCAUCUCUAAAAUGGUUAUUACCAUGAAAACUUUAGUAAUGUUUGUUUUCACUACUUUUUUCAUUAUAUCUUUUGCUGAUUCACUUUAUUGUCCAUAUCCUCCAACUGCGGCUACCAUUCCUGCUGAUUUUCCAGGUUACGGACCUAUAGUAUGCUUCAGACUCACUAAGCCGUGUUUAUCUGGAGGAUUGGGAGAGUGCCAAAAGCUUUGUGACGAGCGGGGUAAUGUUGUACAUCAGUGUAGUCAGGAUGAAUGUUAUUGUGAAAAAUUAAGUAUGCCUCGAACAUAAAAUAAACAUCAAUAUCUUUUAUGCAUUUUUACCAAUAGAUGAUAAGAAUAAAAUAAAUAAAUUUAAUCAAA